AAAAAAACAAUCAUCGCCGAGACCUGAGAAACGUCCCCAAUCGGAAUCCCUACCUCCGUAGUGGAAGGAAGGCGUGCCUUCAAAUUCAUCUUCAUCGCAAUUCAAUCAAUCAAGCUCUUCUCUAGAAUAGCUCAUAUGAAGAUGACCACUGGAAACCCCACUGUAGAUAAAUUUGCUCCUCCGACACUAAGUCAAUUGCGUGAAAUGGUGAGACACCAUCAAGAACCAGUGAAAAGUGGAGCCGAUAAAAGUGAUGACGAGGGUAAGUCGUCUUUGUAUGAUACGAGUGUAACCAAAAACAAAGUUGAAGGCAGUCCCACUACGGAUCCUCAUUCCCCUAAUGUAGGAGAACACCGAGGAAAAAGAGAAGAAAUAGAGUCCGAAGGAUAAAGAGGAAGAGGAGGAAGAAAAGCACCAAGAGGAAGACGUAGAAAGGGACCAAAAAAUGGAGGCUUCUCUUUACUGUUUGUUUUGAUAGACAUCAUAGUUUGUCUUCAGAACGUAUCUUAACAACUGUUCUUUAAAUUCAUUGCCACUCUUGAAUGUCUUUAUUAACCACAAGUAUGGAGGCUUCUCUUUACUGUAA